CCUUCCACAGUAUUGUGCAGAACACAAAAAAGCAGCUUUGAUAAGAGUUUCAUGUGUGUGAACAAUCAUUUGGACUUCCGAUGAAAUCCUUAGUCACGUCGACUUCCUCUCUGUUCCAUCAUUAUGAUUAAUAUGAGCUGUUGAUUCAUUAAUGUUAAUACCCACAAAACUUGAAUUUUUAAUUUGGAAAUCUCUCCAGAAUAAUCUGCUAAAACCCCUUUAGAGAUCUUGUCAUCUUUGCAGAAAUGAGCCAUAAAUGCAGUGUUAACCUAAAGCAACACUCUGCUGAGUAAGCAUAUGUGGAGUAGAAAGAUGAAACUUUGAAAAUUUCCUCUGACCAUAACUUUCACUUGACCCCGGUGAAAUCAGUAGUGCAGUUUUAAAUUAUUGUAGCCAGUUCCGAUUCUUUUGUUGCUUAAUGCAAGUCAAAUGCUUUGCUGAGUUUUCCAUGCUAAUUUUAGAGUUGGUGCAUUUCAGUUCAAUGCGUAAGCAAAUUCAUGCAUAGGCCUAACUGCAUAAAACAGUGUUAACCACAGUUAAGUAAGCACUGUUCGUUGAGACAGCUCAAAUUUUCCCAAGGUUUUUAAUCAGUGAAAGUACAAAAAGAGCACAGUUUCUAAAUGCAAAUCAAACAAUGAGUCACACAUUUUUUUUUUGGUUGAUAUGUAUUUUAACAGCGCAAUAAUUGAUCCCCACUGAUAGCACUUGUUGCAAAGUGAAGGUCACGUUUGGCAAAAACGACACAAAUGUGAGGCCUAAUGUUUGCAGCUUCACCCUUGGGUGAUGUGGUUGGAAAGUUGGAGCUUUUUGUUUACAGUCUCCUCUUCUGCAAAACCCAGUUUUUGUCCAAAAAACAAACAAACAAACAAACAAAAACAAGCAUCCUGUUUACUUAGCAACCCUUUACUGGCUCCUAAACCAUACUUUUUGAUUAUUGUUAGAGGAGCUAAUGCUUUCCUGUGCUAUUUCUAUAUCCAUACUACUGGAGGACCUACUAUAAAUAUUUCUUGCUCUGCUGACUUUACUCCCUGUUAUUUCACUUAUAAGUGAAAUUAUUGCUCUUGUUGACUUUGGAGUCUCUCUCUCUUUAUUUUCUCUAAUGGAGGACAGUUUUGGCUAAACUGUGUCCAUCUCCUGGAGAUACUCAAUGAGGGAGCUAUUCCCACCAUUAGGCCUGUGAACCCUCUCUUUUACUCAAAUCUCAGGGAAACUUCUCCCAACCCAGUUGUUGUGUACCUAUCUUGAUAAAGUCACUAAAAGAGUGGUUGCUGUGGAACCUGGUAAACAGCUAAAAUCAGCAAAUAAUUUAGGCCCACCAUAAAAAUGCUUCUAAAUAUUUUGACAGUUCAAAACACUACGUAUAUUCAGUCUGCUAUAAUACUGUGGAAAUCAUGUUGACACUAAUGCAGAAGCUAAACAUCCACAGUCUCUCUUAUCUGUGCUCUUGAGGUACAGCCAAUCAGUGCCAAGGAAAGUGAGUGACGCUCCUAGAUUGCUUUGCAAGCAGCAACUUAUAAUGUGUGAAGCAGCAUUGCACUGCAAAAACACAAAAUCUUGCAAAGUAUUUUUGAUCUGGUUUCUGGUGUAAAUAUCUGAGUACAUUUGGAAUAAGUCACAACUAACUUGCAAGUAACUUUUCAGCACAAAAUAGGAGUUCAAGUCAAUAAUUCCUUAAUAUUUAUGAAAAAAAUACUAGUGGAAAAAGACAUUAUCCCCAUAAUAUGAUUUAUAAUAUAGGUCUUGUAAACUAGACCAAAAGUACCUGGCAAGACUUUGUGUUUUAGCAGUAUGAACCAAUUUCAGCUUCUCAAGCUGCUUCUUCUUCAUUUCAGACGGACUCCACAGAACAUGAGGCGAAUUCUCUGCAAAUAAUUUGAAGUCACAUACCACAGAAAAAUCUGCAAACGGGUGAAUCUGCACAUCCUUAGCCAUGAAUAGGUGGGGGCCGCUGUAAGUAUGAAUACUCUGUGCAGAAAGUACUCCUAGAUAAAGAAUUUUGUAUUUGGUUGCGUCUCUUUCCUGGACGGAGUCAUUCACAGAUUUCUUGCUCCCAGUAUCUUUGUCUUUCUCUGUAUUCUGUUUUUCCUGAACCAUUCCACUGAUUAGAGGCUAAUGUAACAUUUGUGCACUCUUUAUCCUAGAUAGUUGUCUGGUUCAGUGUUUUUUUUUUUCCUUCAUAUUUUUCUCUAAAAUUGUUUGAAGUUUUUUACCUGAUGUAGUAUCUGUUUAUUUUUACUCUGUGAAUAGUAGUUUAUUUACAGAACAGCACAUGCUCCUUUUUCCACCUGCCCACUUCAUGUAUAAAUAAACAUCUAAGAUGAUGCCUAAAUUCCUUUGCCCUACUAGCAGUGCUCUUUUUCUUGCCUAAUUUGGAAAUAAUUUGCCUCACAUGUCAAGCUACGUGUCAGCCUUUUAGAAAUACUUUUUCUUUUGUUCAGGUUUCCUGUUUUGUAUCUACUGAGCAAGCAUUCUUCUGUUGGAAACUUGAGAAGCAGGCAAAUGUUGUAUAACUGUUAUGUCUUUUGACACACUUUAUGAAGCAUCUGAAACUUAGAAUUGCACAUCAAGAAAAAGUGAUUUAUUUUAAGUGAACGUCUAACGGAAGCCGUUUUUCUCUUAACCUUAAGCAUGUCUGACCUAGUUAGCCAAGACUCGGAAACGUAUCAACCAUUAAAGCACAUUUUAUACUGCCAUGCACUCGGGUUGCAUAAAAGUAAGAAGAGGAGCAAAACUGAAACUCAACGUAAAUCAGAAUUCAAAACAGCUGUGGCUGUUGAUGUGAACAAACCAGUUCAAGUAGCCCUGGCUGUUGAAUAUUCACUAUAAAUUUAAAUAAUCAGAUAGAGAUGGAAAAGCAAAAAUGGCCACUUCAGAUGAAAUACAGCAACUGCUAGAGAUCAUCAUGUUCUUUUCCAUGUCUUGACAAAGAGCGAAUCGGGACUUUGAGUUCAGACCAACCUCAGAUUCACUACGUCCAUCACAGAUCAAAGAUUUAGAGGCCAAAAGAUAAUAGCUUUUUUCAUUAUGUUCACUUUACAACUCUAUAGUUCAGAAAGGAAAUGCUUAAUUACAUUAAUUGGUCUUUGUGGAAUCACAAGACGAUCACAUUGCGCUAUGUUCUCAAGGUCCUUCAGAAGAAUGCGAUAAAAUUCUGUGAAAUGCCAAAGAAAAUCAUUUUGAAGACUUGGACGGUGUCAGUCUUUCAGCCACCGAUUAUCUCAAAACGCUGCAGAAUGUGGGAUGAAGCAGCUGCACAGUUUGCCACUUGACUGCAACUCAGAGAGAGUUAAAGAGCAAAGAUCUCAGUACAGAACGACCACCUGAAUACGUUCACGUGGAUGAAUCUGGGUCCAGUCUGACCAACAGGAGAGGCUGGAAACUGGUUGGUCGUUGUUGCCAUCGCUGAUGAGUUCCAGUCUUCAUGGCGGUGGAAAGUUUGUGACCUUACAUCAGAAAAAAUCUCUUAUAGGCCUUACAGUUUGGCUGCAGUGUGAAUACCCAGUGUGGAUUCAGCAUGUGGUGUUUGAUGUAGAGGAGGUCCUGUGGCCCUGCUCUAACGUGUCAACAUGAUGCUGCAGAGAAGAUACUGUUGGCAGUGCUGAGAAAAGAAGAGUUCAAAAGUCACUAACAUGACCCAGAGCUGCUUCUGGUAACAUCGCAGCUGAAACAGGACGGCUAACUUACACAUUUAUGCAUUUCCCUUCUGAUGCUGACAAAAGCG